AUUGAACGCUGGCGGAAUGCUUUACACAUGCAAGUCGAGCGGCAGCGCGGGGCAACCUGGCGGCGAGCGGCGAACGGGUGAGUAACAUAUCGGAACGUGUCCUAUCGUGGGGGAUAGCCCGGCGAAAGCCGGAUUAAUACCGCAUACGAUCGAAAGAUGAAAGUGGGGGACCGCAAGGCCUCACGCGACGGGAGGGGCCGAUAUCUGAUUAGCUAGUUGGUGAGGUAAAGGCUUACCAAGGCGACGAUCAGUAGCUGGUCUGAGAGGAUGAUCAGCCACACUGGGACUGAGACACGGCCCAGACUCCUACGGGAGGCAGCAGUGGGGAAUUUUGGACAAUGGGGGCAACCCUGAUCCAGCCAUUCCGCGUGAGUGAAGAAGGCCUUCGGGUUGUAAAGCUCUUUUGUCCGGGAAGAAACGGUUUCAACUAAUACUUGAGACUACUGACGGUACCGGAAGAAUAAGGACCGGCUAACUACGUGCCAGCAGCCGCCGUAACAC
rnacentral:rRNA from 1 species